GUGGGGUGGGGGUGGGCAUGGUUGUAGUCUCUGCAGCUUGAGGAAAAGAAAAGUGCCAGGGAGCAGGGCACCCCGAGCCCCUCUCCCAGACGGGCGUGAUUCCAGGAGGGAGCAAGGCUUGGAGCUGGGCUGUCGAGUGGGCUCUCCCACUACCUUGUUUUGUUUUUGUGUUUUAAGUGCGUCUCAUCAGAACAAGAAGGCACCUUUCCCACAAGAGCUAUAACAUAGCCUCUGCGGACGCAGCCCUCGGCAGCAGGGAGGAGCCCACAUUCAGAGGACUGGACGCAGUUCACACAGGCAACUCGGGUGGUUGGUACCUGCUCGGCGUGAUUUCCACCCAGCCCCAUUCCCCACCCCCAAGCCCACUUGUGGCCUGCCCAGGGCUCUGGGGCUGCAGGCGUGCCUGGGCCUUGGCUGGCAGCAUGUGGCCCGGGGGUGCCUGGUGCCACUCGGGGCUGCUGUUUAGCGUGUCAGGAAGUGGACCAGGCGUCCCUGGUGGCUCGGGGUCAGCAUCUGCCUGCAAGUGCAGGGGACCUGGGGUCAGUCCUUGCGUCAGGAAGAUCCCCUGGAGAAGGGAGUGGCAACCCUCUCUAGUGUUCUUGCCUGGAGAAUUCCAUAGACAGAGGAGCCUGGCUUGUAGCAUUGUACAGGAGGCAGUGACCAAAACCAUCCGAAAGGAAAAAAAAUGCAAGAAGGUAAAGUGGUGUUCUGAGGAGGAGUCAGACGCGACUGAGCAACUGAACUGAAGUGAGGAGGCUUUACAAAUAAUUGAGAAAAGAGAAGCAAAAAGCAAGGGAGAAGGGGAAAGAUAUAGCCAACUGAAUGCAGAGUUCUAGAGAAUAGCAAGGAGAGAUAAGAAAGCCUUCUUAAGUGAACAGUGCAAAGAAAUAGAGGAAAACAAGAGAACGGGAAAGAGUGCAGAUCCCUUCAAGAAAAUUGGAGGUAUCAAGGAAACUUAAUGCAAAGACGGGUAUAAUAAAGGACAGAAACAGUAAGGACCCAACAGAAAGAGGAGGUUACGAAGAGGCAGCAAGAAUACAU
ensembl:lncRNA